CCGUUCUUGCCACCAUUCCUCCGCGAGAAAACGGCCGAGGACUUCUGGCAUGGGGCCAACUUUGCGGUGGGUGGAGCGACGGCGCUGAGCCGGGACUUCUUCAAGGAGAAAGGAUUUGACGUCACCAAUAUACCGCCAUACUCACUGGACGUGCAGAUGGAGUGGUUCAAGGGCUUGCUCGACUCGCUCGCUACCACAGACAAAGAACGCAUGGAAAUCAUGUCAAAAUCCUUGUUUCUAAUGGGGGAGAUUGGAGGCAAUGACUACGGUUAUCUCUUCACCCAGAACAGAUCAUUCACCAAAGAGAUCAAACCAUUGGUACCAAAAGUUACAGCGAAGAUUGAGAAUGCCAUCAAGGUCCUAAUCAACCUAGGAGCAAAGACGAUUGUUGUUCCAGGAGUUUUUCCAGUAGGGUGUCUUCCACAUUAUCUCGCAAUGUUUCAAAGCAAGUCGGCUCCUGAAGACUAUGAUGCAUUUGGUUGCAUAAUGUGGUUAAACGACUUCUCCAAGUACCGCAAUUGUGCACUCAAGCGCAUGUUGCAGCAAAUCCCCCGAAAUCCUACGGUCACCAUACUCUAUGGUGACUACUCCAAUAACAUCUUAGAGAUCAUCCGUCACCCUGUCAUACACGGGUUUAAGAGAGAGACUGUGUUAGUGCCGUGCUUCAUGAACGGCAAUCUUUGCCCCGACCCAUCUAUAUACAUAUCGUGGGAUGGACUACAUCUCACUGAAGCCGCUUAUAAGUUUGUGGCCCAUCACUUCUUGCAUGACCCUUUUGUUGAAUCGUCCAUAUGUCCCAUAUGA
rnacentral:lncRNA from 1 species